AUGCCCCAGCCGCGGUGGGUGGUACUUCCUUACCCGCCGCCGCCGCCGCCUAUGGUGGCCGCGCCGCCCCCUCCCACACCGCAGUAUGUGAAGCAUUUCGCGCCGCAGGCAUCGGUGACGCCGCCUCCGCCAUCGGCUGGAUCCGGCGGGAACGGAGGUGACGAGAACCGGACGAUCUGGGUCGGCGACCUCCAGUACUGGAUGGACGAGAACUAUCUCCACAGCUGCUUCGGCCACAGCGGCGAGGUGGUGACGAUUAAAGUUAUCCGCAAUAGACAUUCCGGAGUUUCUGAGGGUUAUGGUUUUGUAGAGUUCUGUUCCCAUGCAUCAGCAGAGAAAGCACUUCAGAAUUUUGCUGGUCAUGUAAUGCCUAAUACUGACCGAGCUUUUAAGUUAAAUUGGGCAUCAUAUAGUGUUGGAGAAAAACGCUCUGAACUUGCUUCUGAUCACUCAAUUUUUGUUGGUGAUCUAGCUAUUGAUGUUACUGAUGACAUGUUGAUGGAACUUUUUGCUAACAAAUAUCGUUCUGUGAAAGGAGCUAAAGUUAUUAUUGAUGCAAACACGGGCCGUUCUAGGGGCUAUGGAUUUGUUAGGUUUGGAGAUGAUAUUGAUAGAACUCAUGCUAUGACUGAAAUGAAUGGUGUGUAUUGCUCCACUCGGCCAAUUCGCAUUGGACCUGCAACUCCUAGAAGAACUUCAGGUGAUUCUGGCACCUCUCCACCAACACAAUCAGAUGGUGACUCGACUAACAGGACAGUAUAUGUUGGCGGGCUUGACCCCAACGUUAGUGAAGAUGAACUAAGGAAAGCAUUUGCGAAAUAUGGUGAUGUUGCUUCUGUCAAAAUUCCUGUUGGGAAACAAUGCGGUUUUGUUCAAUUUGUCAACAGAGCUGAUGCGGAAGAAGCAUUACAAGGGUUGAGUGGAUCAACAAUCGGGAAGCAGGCAGUUCGUCUUUCUUGGGGCCGCAGUCCAGCAAGCAAACAGUCUAGGGGUGAUUCUGGGCAUCGGCGGAAUGGCAUGUACUAUGGCACGCCUUUCUACGGUGGAUAUGGCUACGCGUCGCCAGUUCCUCACGCAAACGUGUAUGCUGCGGCUUAUGGAGCCUACCCUUUCUACGGUAACCAGCAACUAGUGAGCUGA
rnacentral:rRNA from 1 species